UCAAGCUACAAAGGGCGCACGGUGGAUGCCUUGGGGCAAAGGGCCGAUGAAGGACGCGGUCAGCGGCGAAACGCCUCGGGGAGCCGCAAACAGGCUGUGAUCCGAGGGUCUCCGAAUGGGGUAACCCGGCCGUCGUAAUGGACGGUCACCCACCGCUGAAUCCAUAGGCGGUGUGGAGGGCACCCGGGGAACUGAAACAUCUUAGUACCCGGAGGAAAAGAAAGCAGAUGCGAUUCCCUUAGUAGCGGCGAGCGAACGGGGAACAGCCCAAACCGAUAGGGUGUCCAAGCGGGCAGCGUUGCCCUAUCGGGGUAGUGGGACCCACCAGCGGGAUGGCACCGUCCCGCAGGGAGUUACCAAAUCGCCCGUUAGCAGAAGUGCCUGGAACGGCACGCCAUAGAGGGUGACAGCCCCGUACGCGAAAACGGAGCGAUCUCCCGGUGGGCAUCCCAAGUAGCACGGAGCACGAGGAACUCUGUGCGAAUCUGCGCCGACCACGGCGUAAGGCUAAAUACCCUUUGCCACCGAUAGCGCACUAGUACCGUGAGGGAAAGGUGAAAAGCACCCCGGGAGGGGAGUGAAAGAGAACCUGAAACCGUGUGCCUACAAACAGUCGGAGCCCUAUCCGUAGGGUGACGGCGUACCUUUUGCAGAAUGAGCUGGCGAGUUACCGUACGCGGCAAGGUUAAGGCACUCCGUGCCGGAGCCGCAGGGAAACCGAGUCCGAAGAGGGCGUUGAGUCGCGUGCGGUAGACCCGAAACCGCGCGAUCUACCCAUGGCCAGGGUGAAGCGGGGGUAAGACCUCGUGGAGGCCCGAACCGGUGUCGGUUGAAGACGGCUCGGAUGAGCUGUGGGUAGUGUGGUGAAAUGCCAAUCGAGCGCGGAGAUAGCUGGUUCUCCCCGAAAUGCAUUUAGGUGCAGCGUUGCGUGUUUUCUGCCGCAGGUAGAGCACUGGAUGGGCUAGGGGCCUCACCAGGUUACCAAACCCAACCAAACUCCGAAUGGCGGCAGAUGAAGCGCAGCAGUGAGACUGCGGGGGAUAAGCUUCGCAGUCGAGAGGGAAACAGCCCAGACCGCCCGCUAAGGUCCCCAAAUGCACGCUAAGUGUGAAAGGAUGUGGAGCCACAUAGACAACCAGGAGGUUGGCUUAGAAGCAGCCAUCCUUUAAACAGUGCGUAACAGCUGACUGGUCGACGUGGCUCUGCGCCGAUAAUGUAAGGGGGCUCAAGCGUGCUACCGAAGCGGCGGGCUCUCCUGGUCACAGGAGAGCGGUAGGGGAGCGUUCUGCACGCAGCGAAGCCAGAGCGAAAGCACUGGUGGAGCGUGCAGAAGUGCGAAUGCCAGCAUGAGUAGCGAGAAGACGGGUGAGAAUCCCGUCCGCCGAAAGCCUAAGGGUUCUCAAGGAAGGCUCGUCCUCUUGAGGUCAGUCGGGCCUAAGCCGAGGGCGAACGCCGUAGGCGAUGGACACACGGUUGAUAUUCCGUGACCAGGCAGGCGCGUUUGUACGAUGGGGUGACGCCGGGGAAAGCUCCAAGCGCGGGGUUGGUUGACCGCGUUCCCUGGCUGGAGGUGUGCGGUAGGCAAAUCCGCCGCACGUUAGCCUCUGACCAGGGACGAGCCGCGGCUACGGCCAAGGCGAAGUGGGGCAGACUCCGGACGAGAAAAACCUCUAAGGAGUGCCUGUCCUGCCCGUACCGCAAACCGACACAGGUAGGCGAGUAGAGGAUACUCAGGCGCGCGAGAGAACUCCCGUUAAGGAACUAGGCAAAAUGGCCCCGUAACUUCGGGAGAAGGGGCGCCACCGCAAGGUGGCCGCAGUGAAAGGGCCCAGGCGACUGUUUACCAAAAACACAGCUCUCUGCGAAGCCGAAAGGCGACGUAUAGGGGGUGACACCUGCCCAAUGCCCGUAGGUUAAGGGGAGGGGUUCGGCGCAAGCCAAAGCCCCAAACCGAAGCCCGGGUGAAUGGCGGCCGUAACUAUAACGGUCCUAAGGUAGCGAAAUUCCUAGUCGGGUAAGUCUGGACUUGCCCCGCUGACGUCGCAAGGCGCAGCGCUAAACCGGCUCAUAUCGGGGAAGCCCUCGCCCCAACAGGCAGGGUAAUCCCGAGGGAAGUUCCCGCACAGGGAACCCCGUAACGACUGACCCGAAAGGGGAGGCGCGCCCCACCGGGUGCGCAAAAUGCCGGUUCCUCGCCCCUUGCACCAGCAAGGAAGUGGGGCCUAUGGAGACGCGGGAUGACGCUAAACACGCACGAACUGGACGGCUGGUACGUGACGGGCUUGAGCGAAGGAGAAGCGUGCUUCCACGUUACCUUUACCCUGCGUAAGCGGGUGAAGGUAGGCAUCGAAACCCGACCUUCCUUCAGCCUGUCGCUCAACCAGAAAGACCUGCACCUGCUGCAAAGCGUGCAGAAGUUCUUCGGAUGUGGCGGUAUCCGCUACAGCCGAGCCGACCGAACCUAUAAAUACGAAGUUCGGUCUAUUCGCGACCUGAUGCGGAAAAUUAUCCCGCACUUCGAGCGGUAUCCGCUGCAGGGCGCCAAACGCGAAGACUUCGAACGCUUUGCCAGCAUCUGCCAAAAGGUGCACGCGAACCUGCACCUGAACCGACAACAUCUGCGCGAGAUUAUCGAACUCGCUUACGCGAUGAACAGUUCGGGCGUGCACAAGCGCAGUAAGCGCGAUCUCCUAAGGGUACUCGGCGAGGAAAAGGGAUAGUCUACCCCCUCUGGAAACAGAGGAUGUGGUGAAGUUCCGACCCGCACGAAUGGUGUAACGAUCUGGGCGCUGUCUCAACGGGAGACUCGGUGAAAUUGUAGCACCGGUGAAGAUGCCGGUUACCCACCGCAGGACGGAAAGACCCCGUGGAGCUUUACUACACCCUGGUAUUGCGUUCUGGAGUAGUCUGUAGAGCGUAGGUGGGAGCCGCAAGGCGCCAAUGGAACACCACCCUGACUAUUCUGGGACGCUAACCCGAGCCGUUAUCCGGCGAGGAGACAGUAUCAGGCGGGUAGUUUGACUGGGGCGGUCGCCUCAAG
rnacentral:rRNA from 1 species